AGUGAGGCUGUUCAUAGGGCAAAAGGGGGGAGGGUGCUACUCAAUAUUAGGAAUAUGUGCCUAAUGUUUUGUACACCGUGUAUAUAUGAUGCAGUUUCUGGUCCCUUUUUCUGUUCAUAGGUUGCACCUCAGUCACUCGGUUGUCGUGCCAUUGUUCUGAACGUUCUAAAGCCGCUCUCUGCUGGCGGCGCCAUAGUGGUGAUAAACCCAAUCAUUCUGCAAUAGGUGAACUAUUUUGCCUAAAUUACACUAUCGCCUGGGGAAAAAAGUUGAUAUUUCUAAAGUAGUAGGAAAUAUUGUCAUGCCAUUAGCUAGCAAAGUUAGUCAAAAAUAGCUAGCAAUUCUAACGUUAGCUCGGUGGCCUCCUCAAUUUUAGCUAGCUAGCUAACGUUGUACUGCAUCUAAAGUCAAUCUGGCGACAUCCGACUGAUGGCAAAGGGGGUUUCUACUAAUUAUUUGCCUCCAUUUGAAUGUAAUUGUAUUUCCAAGCCACUGUAUUGCACUUUUAACGAAAUCAUCAGCACUCAUUGACGAUGCGUCUAGUAGAGUGUGAUGCGUCUAGUAGAGUGUGCUCAGUCGGGCAUCAGUCUGAAACGAAUGUUCAAAACAACAUUGUGACGAAAUAUCGAAUAGAUUAUUAGAUCAGUUAGUUCUUUCUCCUAGACCAGGGUCUGUUCCUGCCGCCGUCCUCCUCAAUCAAAGCUUUUAUCUCUUCAGUUAGAACAUUGAAGAACAACUUGUGGAAAUGAUUUCCCUGUUAACGUUCCUGGCUGUGUUUCCAGAAGCCAUUUCAGUUUAACAUUUUAUGAAGAGUUCAGAUUAUUUUUCCACAAUAGAGCCAGGUAACUGUUGGAAACAAUCACUCAUUGAAUUAAGCUCCACUCACAAACACCACCAUGUCGGGAACAGUUUAAUGGCCCUGAACAGACCCCAGUCGGUUAAUGGGUACACAUUGAUGUGACUUUGAAGAGAGCCCUGGUUGGAGACUGGUUUUGGUGGGUGAAGAAAAUGCAUUAACAUUGUGUGGUGAGCGAAAGCGCACACGUAGCCAUGUAAAGUGAUGUCAUUGGUCCGGUCCAGAAACAAGCCCCUAUCCCCAGGCAUUUCAUGUAAAGUGCCCUUGGGAGCAGGGGUCAGAGGUUGUUUCUGGACAGCCAUUGUCUCUGCCCCUUGGUUCUCAGUCCCCUCAGGUUAGUCCUAUAGGUUAGAGAGCAAUGCAUUAUCAAAACCAUUGCGCAAGUGUCUUAGGGCUCUAUAUAUGGGGUGUUUUGGCUUUCUGAGCUUUUUCUGACCAUGUGACCCGACCACAAAACAAGUUUUAUAGGCUAUAACGAGGACCCAGAAUUUUUCAUGGUCAGGACAACUCCUGACCCUACACGUCUCCUGGUGUUCUCAUUUGCACAAAUCAGUAUUUAAUCUCUCACCUGAUCCCUACCAGGCUCGCUGGGGUUUGAUAAUGUAUUUUGGAGUUUCUGGAGAAGUGUCCUUCAAGCUGUUUGCAUUUUGACCGUGUUUGGAAUUUAAGCUUUUUCAAAUAUUCAUGUUUUUACCAGUUGUCAAGUCUAAGCUUGCUGAUGUGUACAUAUUGUUGUUUCUUGUCGACCUCAUAUAAAGUACCUUCAGAAUGUAUUCAUACCCCUUGACGUAUUCCACGUUUUUGUUACAGCCUGAAUUGAAAAUCAAUUAAAUUUUUCUCACCCUUCUCCAACAAUACCCCAUAAUGACAAAGUGAAAACAUGUUUUUAGACAUCUUUGCUAAGUUACUGAAAAUGAAAUAUUUCAUUUACAUAAGUAUUCAUACUCUUGAGUCAAUACUUUCUAGAAGCAUAUUUGGCUGUGAUUCCAGCUGAGAGUAUUUCUGGGUAAGUCUCUAAGAGCUUUCUCCACCUGGAUUGUGCAACAUUUGCCCAUAUUAUUUUCAAAAUUAUUCAAGAUCUGUCAAAUUGGUAGUUGAGCACUGCUAGACAACCAUGUUCAGGUCUUGCCAUAGGUGUUCAAGUAGAUUUAAGUUAAAAUUGUAUCUCGGCCACUCAACAUUCACUGUUGGUAAGGAACUUUAGUGUAGCUUGGGCCUUGUGUUUUAGGCUAUUGUCCUGCUGAAAGGUGAAUUAAUUUACCAGUGUCUGGUGGAAAGCAGACAACCAGGUUUUCCUCUAGGAGUUUGCCUAUGCUUUGCUUUAUUUUGUUUUCAUUUUCUAUGCUGAAAAACUUCCCAGUCCUUAAUGAUUACAAACAUACCCAUUACAUGAUGCAGCCACCAAUAUGCUUUCACAUAUGCAGAGUGGUACUCUGUAAUGUAUUGGAUUUGCCCCAAACAUAACACUUUGUAUUCAGGACAAAAAUGUAAUUGCUUUGCCUCAUUUUCUUUCUUUUCACUAUGUCAAUUAGGUUAGUAUUGUGGAGUAACGAUCAUCAAUGUUGUUGAUCCAUCCUCAGUUUUCUCUUGUCACAGCUAUUAAAUUCCGUAACUGUUUUAGAGUUACCAUUGGACUCACGGUCAAAUUCCUGAGCAGUUUCCUUCCUCAACUAAGUUCGGAAGGACACCUCUGUUUCUCGUGACUGGGUGUAUUGAUACGCCAUCCAAAGUGUAAUUGAAUAACUUCCCCAUGAUCAAAGGGAUAUUCAAUGUCUGUCUUUUCUUUUUUUGCCAUCUCCCGAUAGGUGCCCUUUUGCAAGGCAUUUUAAAAUAUCCCUGGUCUUUUUUGGUUAAAUGUGUUUUGAAAUUCACUCUGCGGGACCUUACAAUUAUCUGUAUGUGUGGGGUACAGAGAUGAGGUUGUCAUUCAAAAAUUGUUAAUUAAACACUUAUUGAGUGAGUCCAUGCAACUUAUUGUGACUUGUUAAACAAAUGUUUACUCUUAACUUUUUUAGGCUUGCCAUAACAAGGGGUUGACUACUUAAUGACUCAAGACAUUUCAGCUUUUCAUUUUUAAUGAAUUGGUAACAUUUUUUUUAAACUAUUCCACUUUAACAUUAUGGGGGUGUACCAGUGACAACAUAUCUAAAUGUAAUCUAUUUUAAAUCCAAAGUGUAACACAACAAAAUGUGAAAAAAGUCAAGGGGUGUGAAUACUUUCUGAAGGCACUAUAAGCCAUAGAUCGAUGUCACUAUCUGACUGACUGUUAGACAUACACCUAUUGAAUGCUUGUCUGGGCUGGGCUUUCUAGCAAGCAAGAGCAAUGGGUUGGUUAGUUAUUACUAACUACAGUUAAUAAGAUGAAUAUGGGUUACUGAUAAGUCAGUCAUACUAGAACAAUUUCUUUCUUUAAAAAAAAAAAUGUAAAUGUUUCAAAAAUAUUUAGGAAAGUUAGAAUGCUAACUCAUUGAUCCCGCUUUGUGAAACCCCCUUACUGAGAAUGUGGUGUCUGGUGCAAACUGUUUCUGUGAAACUCUGUAUUGUAAAUAAAGAUUUAAUGAAGAUUUUAAC
ensembl:lncRNA